rnacentral:rRNA from 1 species
UCCUACGGGAGGCAGCAGUAGGGAAUCUUCCGCAAUGGACGAAAGUCUGACGGAGCAACGCCGCGUGAGUGAUGAAGGCUUUCGGGUCGUAAAACUCUGUUGUUAGGGAAGAACAAGUGCUAGUUGAAUAAGCUGGCACCUUGACGGUACCUAACCAGAAAGCCACGGCUAACUACGUGCCAGCAGCCGCGGUAAUACGUAGGUGGCAAGCGUUAUCCGGAAUUAUUGGGCGUAAAGCGCGCGCAGGUGGUUUCUUAAGUCUGAUGUGAAAGCCCACGGCUCAACCGUGGAGGGUCAUUGGAAACUGGGAGACUUGAGUGCAGAAGAGGAAAGUGGAAUUCCAUGUGUAGCGGUGAAAUGCGUAGAGAUAUGGAGGAACACCAGUGGCGAAGGCGACUUUCUGGUCUGUAACUGACACUGAGGCGCGAAAGCGUGGGUAGCGAACAGGAUUAGAUACCCUGGUAGUCCACGCCGUAAACGAUGACAACCAGCUGUUGGGAAGCAAUGCUUUUCAGUGGCGCAGCUAACGUCUUAAGUUGUCCGCCUGGGGAGUACGGCCGCAAGGUUAAAACUCAAAUGAAUUGACGGA